rnacentral:tRNA from 1 species
CCCGUGGCGAAUUGGCGAUCACCGGUGACUGUAAAUCACCCGCUUCGGCUGUGUAGGUUCGACUCCUGCCUGCGGGAC